rnacentral:tmRNA from 1 species
GGCAUAGGUCGCAUGCCGAGGUCCCCGCAGGCCUCGUUAAACAGGCGGGAAAACAAUAACUGCCGAUACUGAACUCGCUCUGGCCGCCUAAUUUGAGCGGCCCGUCUGCCCGUCCUUAAGCCUGCAGGGACGGAGCAGGCGUCGCCAAAGCAGGCUUUGCUGUUCGAUCCCGCCCGGAGGUCGAACGGCGAGAUUGCAUCCGGGCUGGCUGAUGAGUGGCCUUGCCUAUGGGGCUCUCAUCGGCGAGAGAUCAAACAUAGGCUAAGCAUGUAGGGACCUAUGUCGCAACGCUUCCGGACGUGGGUUCGAUUCCCACCGCCUCCACCA